CAAUAGCGUAUAUUAAAGUUGUUGCGGUUAAAAAGCUCGUAGUUGGAUCUCGGCAGGCAGGGGGUGGUUCGCUCUUAGCGCUACUGCCCCAUUUGCCUGUGUGAUUGGCGGAGGUUUCGGGGUGCUCUUCGUUGAGUGACCCGGGGCGCCGUCAGGUUUGCUUUGAAAAAAUUAGAGUGCUCAAAGCAGGCUUUUCACGCUUGAAUAUUCGUGCAUGGAAUAAUGGAAUAGGAACUCGUUUCUAUUUUGUUGGUUUUCGGAAAUCGAGUUAAUGAUUAAUAGGGACAAUUGGGGGCAUUAGUAUUCAGACGACAGAGGUGAAAUUCUUGGACCGUCUGAAGACUAACUACUGCGAAAGCAUUUGCCAAGAGUGUUUUCAUUAA
rnacentral:rRNA from 1 species